UCGACAGUGUGUGUGGGACAACUUUCGAAAGGCAUUGAAACCGCUUUGUGGAUGAUAUGCGACGGAGAUGUUUCCAAUGGAGGUCUGAGGCACGUUUGAGUCGAAAGUUUUUUGCCGCCCUGAAGAGCUAAAUGUUUUUUGCCUGCCAAACAAACGCAUGAAAGCACUUCAAACACUUUGCCAUGGCAAUAAUUGAGCGCACCAGUCAGGAAGACAAUUUCCUCGCCCACACACGCACACUCAUACCCACAAUCAGAAUUGAGUUCCGCCAGGCGCCGAUCGCUUUUCUCGCUUUCUGGUUUCCCAUCAGGCAAUUCACUGUGAUGUGAAAAGAAGGUCAUCGGAAUAAUCGAUUCAGUUCGGCAAUGCCAGCAUGGGCUAGCAGAAAAUGAAAUGGAAUUCUAUGUCUAUAUGACAUCAUAUAUUAAUAUCAUAUAUUAACUAAUAAAAAUUAAACACAUCGUGGA